rnacentral:rRNA from 1 species
AUGAACGCUAGCUACAGGCUUAACACAUGCAAGUCGAGGGGCAUCAGGAAGAAAGCUUGCUUUCUUUGCUGGCGACCGGCGCACGGGUGAGUAACACGUAUCCAACCUGCCCUUUACUCGGGGAUAGCCUUUCGAAAGAAAGAUUAAUACCCGAUAGUAUAAUGAUUCCGCAUGGUUUCAUUAUUAAAGGAUUCCGGUAAAGGAUGGGGAUGCGUUCCAUUAGGUUGUUGGUGAGGUAACGGCCCACCAAGCCUUCGAUGGAUAGGGGUUCUGAGAGGAAGGUCCCCCACAUUGGAACUGAGACACGGUCCAAACUCCUACGGGAGGCAGCAGUGAGGAAUAUUGGUCAAUGGGCGCUAGCCUGAACCAGCCAAGUAGCGUGAAGGAUGAAGGCUCUAUGGGUCGUAAACUUCUUUUAUAUAAGAAUAAAGUGCAGUAUGUAUACUGUUUUGUAUGUAUUAUAUGAAUAAGGAUCGGCUAGCUCCGUGCCAGCAGCCGCGGUAAUACGGAGGAUCCGAGCGUUAUCCGGAUUUAUUGGGUUUAAAGGGAGCGUAGGUGGACUGGUAAGUCAGUUGUGAAAGUUUGCGGCUCAACCGUAAAAUUGCAGUUGAUACUGUCAGUCUUGAGUACAGUAGAGGUGGGCGGAAUUCGUGGUGUAGCGGUGAAAUGCUUAGAUAUCACGAAGAACUCCGAUUGCGAAGGCAGCUCACUGGACUGCAACUGACACUGAUGCUCGAAAGUGUGGGUAUCAAACAGGAUUAGAUACCCUGGUAGUCCACACAGUAAACGAUGAAUACUCGCUGUUUGCGAUAUACAGUAAGCGGCCAAGCGAAAGCAUUAAGUAUUCCACCUGGGGAGUACGCCGGCAACGGUGAAACUCAAAGGAAUUGACGGGGGCCCGCACAAGCGGAGGAACAUGUGGUUUAAUUCGAUGAUACGCGAGGAACCUUACCCGGGCUUAAAUUGCAGUGGAAUGAUGUGGAAACAUGUCAGUGAGCAAUCACCGCUGUGAAGGUGCUGCAUGGUUGUCGUCAGCUCGUGCCGUGAGGUGUCGGCUUAAGUGCCAUAACGAGCGCAACCCUUAUCUUUAGUUACUAACAGGUUAUGCUGAGGACUCUGGAGAGACUGCCGUCGUAAGAUGUGAGGAAGGUGGGGAUGACGUCAAAUCAGCACGGCCCUUACGUCCGGGGCUACACACGUGUUACAAUGGGGGGUACAGAAGGCAGCUAGCGGGUGACCGUAUGCUAAUCCCAAAAGCCUCUCUCAGUUCGGAUCGAAGUCUGCAACCCGACUUCGUGAAGCUGGAUUCGCUAGUAAUCGCGCAUCAGCCACGGCGCGGUGAAUACGUUCCCGGGCCUUGUACACACCGCCCGUCAAGCCAUGGGAGCCGGGGGUACCUGAAGUACGUAACCGCAAGGAUCGUCCUAGGGUAAAACUGGUGACUGGGGCU